AGAAAAGUAGUUUUCCAGAGGAAAAUUGGAGGGCUUGGAUACAAGGAAGUGGGGCAGGAUGCUGGGAAGGCUAAACAAUAAUUGCCCACAACAGUAUCUCUGAACAUCUAGAAAGAAAGUGGAAAAACAAUUAAGUGCAUUCAUUUCAUAUCCUCUUAAUCACCUCCAGGCCACUGAAUGGUGCAAAGUCAAAGACAAGGUCAAAAACCAGGUCUGAAACAUACAAGUACCUUAUUAUAUGAUGGAGUGCAGAUGAGAAAGGUUUAUGUGAAAAUUUUUAGUUAGAGGUAAAAAAUGAUAAAUGCUAUGAUGUAGGCAUAAAUCCAGAGUUUCUAAAAAACCAGCCAUGAUAGUGACAACUCAGAAAACAUUGGAGAAAACAUUGGAGAAGAAUUCUGUCAUUCUUGGCUUCCAUCCCAUACAGCUGAACUCCGCAAACUUUAGAGUGUCCUCUAAUCACCUGGAGAUCUGGUUAAAAGGCAGGUUCUGAUUCAGUAGGUCUGGGGAGGAGCCCAAGCGCCUGCAUUUCUAACAAGCUCCCAGAUGUCUCUGAUGCUGCUAUUCAGGAACCUUGCACUGAGGAGCAAAGCAGGAGAGGGGCUUUGUAUUUGCUGCUCCCUCCGCCUGGAAAGCACUUGAUCCAGAUACAUCUUUGGUGUACCAAGAAGCUUCACCUGGCUAUUGUAUUUAAAGUGCGAGCUGUAAAGGAUAUUGUCUCUCAGAGAGAAGAGUGGGAGACUGCAAAGGAGAUUGCCGCCAUUUUGCAGUAUAUAUGUGUUGUUGCUGCUGACCUACUGACUCGCCUCUGAUGUGAAGCCGCAGCUGGGCCAGAUGCAUGUGAUACAGCCAGCAAGAGUCCUGCUUUUACAGGAUUCUCUUGUCAUCAAGGUCAGAGGCAAUAAGAAUGGACAUGGGUUUCAUUCUCUCCUAGUGGGAUUCUAGCCUGAUCUUCAUCUUCCUUUCCUGACUGCCUGUUGUGUGAACUCUAAGCCCCAGCCUCAGAAUUGUGA
rnacentral:lncRNA from 1 species